UUACGGCCAUAUCACGUUGAAACACUGGUUCUCGCAAGAUCAGCGAAGUUAAACAACGUCGAGUCUGGUCAGUACCUAUAUGGCAAACCAUAUGGGAAUACCAGGUGCUGUAAG